rnacentral:rRNA from 1 species
UCAAAUGAGGAAAGGGUUACGGUGGAUACCUAGGCACCCAGACGAGAAAGAGUGUAGUAAUCGACGAAAUGCUUCGGGGAGUUGAAAAUAAGCAUAGAUCUGGAGAUUUUCAAAUAGGGAAACCUUUCGAACUACUGCUAAAUCCAUGGGUAGGCAAGAGACAACCUGGCAAACUGAAACAUCUUAGUAGCCAGAGGAAAAGAAAGUAAAAGUGAUUCCCAUAGUAGCGGCAAGCGAAAUGGUAGCAGCCUAAACCGUGAAAAUGGGGUUGUGGGAGAGCAAUACAAGUGUCGUGCUGCACCCUAGAUGGAGAAAGUCCAGUAGCCGAAAGUAUCACUAGCUUACGCUCUAACCUGAGUAGCAUGGGACAUGUGGAAUCCCGUAUGAAUCGGCAAGGACCACCUUGCAAGGCUAAAUACUCCUGGGUGAUUGAUAUCGAAGUAGUACCAUGAGGGAAGGGUGAAAAGAAACCCCAUCGGGGAGUAAAAUAGAAUAUAAAACGGUAAGCUCCCAAGCAGUGGGAGGAGCCAAGUCUCUGACCGUGUUCCUGUUGAAGAAUGAGCCGACGACUCAUAGGUAGUGGCUUGGUUAAGGGAAACCACCAGAGCCAUAGCGAAAGUGAGUCUUCAUAGGGCAAUUGUCACUGCUGAUAGACUCGAACCUGGGUGAUCUAUCCAUGAUCAGGAUGAAGCUUGGGUAAAACUAAGUGGAGAUCCGAACUGACUGAUGUUAAAGAAUCAGUGGAUGAGUUGUGGUUAGAGGUGAAAUACCACUCGAACCCAGAGCUAGCUGGUUCUCCCCGAAAUGCAUUGAGGCGCAGUAGUUGUCUGGACAUCUAGGGAUAAAGCACUGUUUCGGUAUGGGCAGUGAGAGUGGUACCAAAUCGAAGCAAACUCUGAAUACUAGAUAUGACCUCAAAAUAACAGGGGUCAAGGUCGGCCAGUGAGACGAUAGGGGAUAACCUUCAUCGUCGAGAGGGAAAUAGCCCAGAUCACCAGCUAAGGCCCCUAAAUGAUUGCUCAGUGACAAAGGAAAUGGGGUACAGAGACAGCCAGGAGGUUUGCCUAGAAGCAACCACCCUUGAAAGAGUAUGUAAUAGCUCACUGAUGGAGCGCUCAUGCGCUGAAGAUGAACGGGGCUAAGUGAUCUGUCGAAGCUGUGGGAUGUAAAAAUACAUCGAUAGGGGAGCCUUCUACCUUAGAAGGAAGCCCCUGUGCGAGCAGUGAUGGACGAACCGGACAUUGGUGAGAAUCCAAUGCCCCAAAAACUUAAGGGUUCUUCGAUAAGGUUCGCCCACGGAGGGUGAGUCAGGGCCUAAGAUCAGGCUAAAAGGCAUAGUCAAUGGACAACAUGUGAAUAUUCCUAUACUACCCCUUAUUGGUCUCGAGGGAUGGAGGAGGCUCGUUAGUCGAAAGCUGGUUAUUGGUUCAAGAACGAAGGUGCCCCUACUUUUUUAGGGUUAGAAGAGGUAGAGAAAAUGCCUCGAGCCAAUGUUCGAGUACCAGGCGCUACGGUGCUGAAGUAACCCACGCCAUACUCCCAGGAAAAGCUCAAACGACCUUUAAACAAAGGGUACCUGUACUCUAAAUCGACACAGGUGGGUAGGUAGAGAAUACCUAGGGGCGCGAGAUAACUCUUUCUAAGGAACUUAGCAAAAUAGCCCUGUAACUUCGGGAAAAAGGGGUGCCUCCUCACAAAAAGGGUCGCAGUGACAAGGCCCGGGCGACUGUUUACCAGAAACAUAGGUCUCUGCAAAGUCGUAAGACCAUGUAUGGGGUUUGACGCCUGCCCCGUGUCGGAAGGUCAAGAGGUUGGUGACCUGAUGAUAAGGGAGGCGACGAUCGAAGCCCCGAUGAACGACGACUGUAACUAUAACGGUCCUAAGGUAGCAAAAUUCCUUGUUAGGUAAGUCCCAACCCGCACGAAAGGCGUAAUGAUCUAGGCACCGUCUCGGAGAGAGGCUCGGUGAAAUAGACAUGUCUGUGAAGAUGCGGACUACCUGCACCUGGACAGAAAGACCCUAUGAAUUUUCACUGUUUCUUGGGAUUGAGUUUGGGCCUUUCCUGCGCAGGUUAGGUAGAAGGCAAAGAAGACCUCCUUUCGUGGGGCCCGAGCCAUCAGUGAGAUACCACUCUGGAAGAGCUAGAAUUCUAACCUUGUGUCAGGACCUACGGGCCGAGGGACAGUCUCAGGUAGAUAGUUUCUAUGGGGCGUAGGCCUCCCAAAAGGUAACGGAGACAUGCAAAGGUUUCCUUGGGCCAGACAGAGAUUGGCCCUUGAGUGCAAAGGCAGAAGGAAGCUUAACUGCAAGACCCACCCGUCGAGCAGGGACAAAAGUCAACCUUAGUGAUCCGACAGUGUCAAGUGGAAGAGCCGUUGCUCAACGGAUAAAAGUCACUCUAGGGAUAACAGGCUGAUCUUCCCCAAGAGCUCACAUCGACGUGAAGGUUUGGCACCUCGAUGUCAGCUCUUCGCCACUUGGGGCUAUAGUAUGUUCCAAGGGUUGGGCUGUUCGCCCAUUAAAGCAUUACGUGAGCUAGGUUCAAAAAGUCGUAAGACAGUUCGGUCCAUAUCUGGUGUGGGAGUUAGAGCAUUGAGAGGACCUUUCCCUAGUACGAGAAGACCGGGAAGGACGUACCUCUGAUGUACCAGUUAUCAUGCCCACGGUAAAUGCUAGGUUGCCAAGUACAGAGCGGAUAACUGCUGAAAGCAUCUAAGUAGUAAGCCUACCCUAAGAUGAGUGCUCUCCUAUUCCGACUUUCCUAGAGCUUCCGGUAGCACAACUAAGACAGCGAUGGGUUCUCUGUCCCCGUGGGGAGAGAGCGACAAAAGUUUUGAGAAUUCAAGGGAAGGUCACAACGAGACGAGCUAUUUAUCAUUACGAUAGGUUUCAAGUGGAAGUACAGCGAUGUAUGCAGCUGAGGCAUCCUAGCAGACCAGUAGACUUGAACCU